UACGUAGGGUGCGAGCGUUAAUCGGAAUUACUGGGCGUAAAGCGUGCGCAGGCGGCUUUGCAAGACAGAUGUGAAAUCCCCGGGCUUAACCUGGGAACUGCAUUUGUGACUGCAAGGCUAGAGUGCGGCAGAGGGGGGUGGAAUUCCACGUGUAGCAGUGAAAUGCGUAGAUAUGUGGAGGAACACCGAUGGCGAAGGCAGCCCCCUGGGCCUGCACUGACGCUCAUGCACGAAAGCGUGGGGAGCAAACAGG
rnacentral:rRNA from 1 species